UUGUUGGAAUAUCCAGAGAAAAAUGGAAACAGUGUCAUGAAGCCUCAAAACGUGGAAUCUAUCCAGCUACUUUGGUUUUGUUUACUUCUUAGAGACUCACGUUGCGACAUGUUAACAGUAACCAGUGUCUCGAUGAACCUUCUGAGGAAGACAAAAUGGUGCCUACAAUGCAGGACUGUAGUGGAAGCAGAUCCCAACAGUGGCUGCUAAGAAACAUGACCUUGGGCACAUGAAGAUCAUGUCCUCCAAGCCAUGAAAGUGUCUACGCUUUUGUUUUUCCAUUAUUUCAAUUGGGGGAAAAUAUUAACUUUGCUGAAUUGAAAGUUUUAAAAAUCCUUUUAGUAUUCUAAAACACAAUUAUUUCUAAUUCGUUUCUAGAAAUGUUUGCUUAUUUCCCUAAAAUUUGUACCUGAUCAGAGCACAUAAAAAUAUAAAUAAUAGCAAACUAUUAUUAACAACAACUUGUAAAACAAA
rnacentral:sRNA from 1 species